rnacentral:rRNA from 1 species
GACGAACGCUGGCGGCGUGCCUAAUACAUGCAAGUCGAACGCACGAAGUUGAAGAGCUUGCUCUUUAACCAAGUGAGUGGCGGACGGGUGAGUAACACGUGGGUAACCUGCCCAUUAGAGGGGGAUAACAUUCGGAAACGGAUGCUAAUACCGCAUAGUUUCAGGAAUCGCAUGAUUCUUGAAGGAAAGGUGGCUUCGGCUACCACUAAUGGAUGGACCCGCGGCGUAUUAGCUAGUUGGUGAGGUAAUGGCUCACCAAGGCAAUGAUACGUAGCCGACCUGAGAGGGUGAUCGGCCACACUGGGACUGAGACACGGCCCAGACUCCUACGGGAGGCAGCAGUAGGGAAUCUUCCGCAAUGGACGAAAGUCUGACGGAGCAACGCCGCGUGAGUGAAGAAGGUUUUCGGAUCGUAAAACUCUGUUGUUAAAGAAGAACAAGGAUGAGAGUAACUGCUCAUCCCCUGACGGUAUUUAACCAGAAAGCCACGGCUAACUACGUGCCAGCAGCCGCGGUAGUACGUAGGUGGCAAGCGUUGUCCGGAUUUAUUGGGCGUAAAGCGAGCGCAGGCGGUUCUUUAAGUCUGAUGUGAAAGCCCCCGGCUCAACCGGGGAGGGUCAUUGGAAACUGGAGAACUUGAGUGCAGAAGAGGAGAGUGGAAUUCCACGUGUAGCGGUGAAAUGCGUAGAUAUGUGGAGGAACACCAGUGGCGAAGGCGACUCUCUGGUCUGUAACUGACGCUGAGGCUCGAAAGCGUGGGGAGCAAACAGG